AUACGUAGGGGGCGAGCGUUGUCCGGAAUGAUUGGGCGUAAAGGGCGCGUAGGCGGCCCGGUAAGUCUGGAGUGAAAGUCCUGUUUUUAAGAUGGGAAUUGCUUUGGAUACUGUCGGGCUUGAGUGCAGGAGAGGUAAGUGGAAUUCCCAGUGUAGCGGUGAAAUGCGUAGAGAUUGGGAGGAACACCAGUGGGGAAGGCGACUUACUAGACUGCAACGGACGCUGAGGAGCGAUAGUGUGAGCAUCAAACUGGAGUAGUUAACCUCGUAUCCCCCGCUGUGAACUAUUCAUGCUAAGUUGAGGGGGUAUCGCGCCUUUCUGUGCCGCAGGCAACACAAUUAGCAUUCCUCCUGGGGAGUUCCGCAUCAACGUUGAUACUCAAAUGAAUUGACGUGG
rnacentral:rRNA from 1 species